rnacentral:rRNA from 1 species
GUGGGGAAUAUUGGACAAUGGGCGAAAGCCUGAUCCAGCCAUGCCGCGUGUGUGAAGAAGGUCUUCGGAUUGUAAAGCACUUUAAGUUGGGAGGAAGGGCAGUAAGUUAAUACCUUGCUGUUUUGACGUUACCGACAGAAUAAGCACCGGCUAACUUCGUGCCAGCAGCCGCGGUAAUACGAAGGGUGCAAGCGUUAAUCGGAAUUACUGGGCGUAAAGCGCGCGUAGGUGGUUUUGUAAGUUGGAGGUGAAAUCCCCGGGCUCAACCUGGGAACUUCCUCCAAAACUGCAUGACUAGAGUACGGUAGAGGGUAGUGGAAUUUCCUGUGUAGCGGUGAAAUGCGUAGAUAUAGGAAGGAACACCAGUGGCGAAGGCGACUACCUGGACUGAUACUGACACUGAGGUGCGAAAGCGUGGGGAGCAAACAGGAUUAGAUACCCUUGUAGUCC